rnacentral:rRNA from 1 species
UACGUAGGGGGCAAGCGUUGUCCGGAAUCAUUGGGCGUAAAGCGCGUGUAGGCGGCCAGAAAAGUCCGCUGUGAAAACUCGAGGCUCAACUUCGAGCUGUCGGUGGAAACUUUCUGGCUAGAGUCCGGAAGAGGCGAGUGGAAUUCCUGGUGUAGCGGUGAAAUGCGCAGAUAUCAGGAGGAACACCUAUUGCGAAGGCAGCUCGCUGGGACGUUACUGACGCUGAGACGCGAAAGCGUGGGGAGCAAACAGG